UACGUAGGGUCCAAGCGUUAUCCGGAAUCACUGGGCGUAAAGGGUGCGUAGGCGGAUAAGUAAGUCAGUGGUGAAAUCUCCGAGCUUAACUCGGAAACUGCCGUUGAUACUAUUUGUCUUGAAUAUUGUGGAGGUAAGCGGAAUAUGUCAUGUAGCGGUGAAAUGCUUAGAUAUGACAUAGAACACCAAUUGCGAAGGCAGCUUACUACACAAUGAUUGACGCUGAGGCACGAAAGCGUGGGGAUCAAACAGG
rnacentral:rRNA from 1 species